UACGUAGGGUGCAAGCGUUGUCCGGAAUUAUUGGGCGUAAAGAGCUCGUAGGCGGUUUGUCACGUCGGAUGUGAAAACCCGGGGCUUAACUCCGGGCCUGCAUUCGAUACGGGCUGACUAGAGUUCGGCAGGGGAGACUGGAAUUCCUGGUGUAGCGGUGAAAUGCGCAGAUAUCAGGAGGAACACCUGCGGCGAAGGCGGGUUGCUGGGCUGACACUGACGCUGAGGCGCGAAAGCUAGGGGAGCGAACGGG
rnacentral:rRNA from 1 species